rnacentral:lncRNA from 1 species
GCUCUCAGUGGCUUCCAUGGAAGUUCUGCAACCAACCAGCAGGAGAAUCGCUUAAACCCAGGAGGUAGAGGUUGCAGUGAGGCAAGAAUGCAUCACUGCACCCUAGCCUGGAUGACAGAGUGAGACCCUGUCUCAACAAAAUAAAUUAAAAUAAAAAAUAAUAUAUUUUUCUAAGUAUCAUUCCUUUUCCAAAUCAGGAAUUCUCCUUGAGUUUUCCUCAAUUUCCAGGCAAUAUCUUUGCAUAGAUUCAUUAAGAAUUUGUCCUUUUUAAAUAAAAAAUAUAAACGGAACUAUUCAUUAGGCAACAAAUGCCUUGUCUGAAAUAUCACAUUUGAGAAUGUUGCUCAUUUAAUCAGAAAGAUAAGCUACUUUAAAGAACUGAGGUCCACUUUCUGGAGCCAAAAACUUAUAAAUCCCUCUCAGAAAAACCUGAUUUGCUUUGUAGGGUCUCAGGUUUAGAGAUGCUGAAGAAGAUCAUUUUGUUGCAGGCAAAGGACCUCAGAGUAUUUGGGGAACUUUGAGAAGAGAGGAAUUCUCCCAAAUGUAUAGGUAUCACAGGUAAAAUACAGUGGAGAGACUUUCUUGGACUUUAAUUCCUUAAAUCAGGAUAGCAAAUAAUAGGGGCUUUUACAAGUUCAAUCUGUUUCCUUACAAAAAUUUUCAGCAAAGUAAAUGUAAGAAGACUUAUGUCAAAAAUUAACAUGCUCCAUGUAUCUAUGAAGGCAAACCUAAUAAAACCAGCUUUAAUUUGUGCUCAAGAAUAUUAUUUCACUGAGUUUUCUUAAAUCACAAAGGGGAGACUGUUAUGAAAACCUAUAUAAAAUAAAAAACAAGGAAGAAAAGUCUACUAGAUGUCUCUAAUGGAAGACUGCAUUUUUAGAACAUAUCCUUAUAGGUGAUUCUAUUCUUUCUCUGCUAUUUGGCUCUCACACUCUUUACCAUGCAGAUAAUUCACAGCAAUGCAAAAGAAUCCUCAUCUAUAGCCAUCAAAAUAAGUUAUUUGUUAUUUCUGGUGAAGGUUCAGUUGACUUCCCCUUCCAGGAUGAGGAACGUUUCAUGUCUUUCUGCAUCAUUUCAACUAUUCCUUACUACAUAUAAAUCUGCACUUGUUAAAUUCUAUUUUGAAUUGACUGUGGCAUCUGCCUGCUUCCCCAUUAAAAUUGAAUAAAAUCUUUAACACACAAAUA